CGAAGGAUGCAAGCGUUUAUCCGGAUUCAUUGGGUUUAAAGGGUGCGUAGGCGGACUGAUAAGUCAGUGGUGAAAUCUCUUUGCUUAACAAAGAAACUGCCAUUGAUACUGUCGGUCUAGAGUAUAGAUGACGUUGGCGGAAUAUGACAUGUAGUGGUGAAAUACUUAGAUAUGUCAUAGAACACCGAUUGCGAAGGCAGCUAACGAAACUAUAACUGACGCUGAGGCACGAAAGUGCGGGGAUCAAACAGGAUUAGAUACCCUGGUAGUCCGCACCGUAAACGAUGAUUACUCGUUGUUGGCGAUAUGACAGUCAGCGACCAAGCGAAAGCGAUAAGUAAUCCACCUGGGGAGUACGCCGGCAACGGUG
rnacentral:rRNA from 1 species